UGGAGUAAGGAAGGAGUCGCCCAACCACCCAUUUCUCACGAGCCCAUACGUUUGGUGCAACUGCUCAUGAUGACUAAUGAUUUGACACCUUGGACUGUCGGGCCCUGGUAUGGGUCCACAUCAUCCGGUGUCCGCAGCAAAUGGCAAGACAAUGAUAAUCAACCUAUAGCCAGUGUUGUAGGCACAAUUACGGCAUUUGCAGCAGCAGAGGGGGCAG
rnacentral:lncRNA from 1 species